CCAACUAAUAAAUAAGAUUAGGCUAUUUUCCAUAACUGAAGAUCAUGCGUGUGUGAACAAUAACUUGGGCAUAGUAUGGUGUCCCUGCCAUAUAUUCGCUGGAGAAGGAAAUGAAUCAAAGAAGAUGCAUGUGCGCUAGAUCUAAAACCAAAACAUGUCACAAUGAACAACUAAGUUGUUAAGGAGUUGAAGCAGCAUCAGCACAUUUGUCACAGAACAACAGUAAUAUCACCGGUAGGAAGCGGUGGGAUUAUGAUUUCACCCUAUCAUAUAUAUAGAAAAGAACUUGGAGAACGUCAGGAAAAGUUCUAUAAACUGUGUUUGUUUUCGGGGUGGAUUUCACGUUUGCGGUGAACCACAAUUAAUAAUUGUUUGGUUCUGAAUAAAGUUGAGUUUUGUGAAGCGGGUCCCAUAUAAAAUUUGAGUUGAAAACGCAGUUCAUUGCACAGCAGUGUAUACAUGGUUUUUUAGUUGGGUUCUUAAAUAUUCUUUAAUGUUUGCCCAGGGUUACCAUAAAAGUCUCUGCUGCCCUGCUCGUCUCCUUUAUCGUUUCUAAAGAAAGGCAAAAAAUAACCUCAUUCUUUCCAUGAGAAACCAGUCUGCAGAAACCUCCUACAAGAUCUGGAUCUAUAGAGAAACCAAAGCAACUAGAUCUACACAGUAUCCUCCAAACUCUUCCAUAAUCACAACACAAGCCUGCAGAAAAGGCACUGAACACCAACAUUUUGUUCAACGUUAAUUACAUCCACAACGACAACAUCAAACUUCUUCCUUAUUUCAGCACUUUUGGAUGAAAGAUGCAAAAAGGAGUAAAUUGGAGGCAAUUGGCAGAUUUGAUGUUCAGUCGAUGUUUUAUGCAAAGCGUGAGUUCUAAAGGUCGAAAUGAAGUGAUUCUAAUUUUUUUGGAUUCCUGACUUAAAGACCUAUCAACGCUCCAAAUUUCAGUAACAAACGAUGUCAUAUAAGAGAUAUAUGAGUUUUCAAAGAUGACAACUAAAUUCUGCCAGCAAACAGGUUUUUGAAGAAACGAAUCCAAAUUACAUCCCGAAGCAUCCAAACUGACAUCCAAGUUUUUAUUUUAGCAAUUUAGCUCCUCUAGUAAAUCAAUCCAGAAAGUAAAGGAAGGCAACCACCAACCUCAAACCACCAACCACUAGCUACCAGCCACCAGCUGUCAGCUGCCUUCACACUACCACCAUCUAUUGAUGUUCACACUUGAACUUUGAUUUUUCUUACUUACAAUUUGUGUAUAAAUAGGCAGCUAAGUUUAUGCUAUUGAGGGAGAGAGGGAAAGAGAGUGCAGUAGAACAAAAGAAAGAAGGGUGGCAGCCAUAAGAGAAGAAACACAAACUCUCCCCUCUACAAACCAGAAAUCAUGAUUUCUUCCAUCUUUAGGAGUAAUUGUUCAAUAGAUAUGCAAAGCUAAACUUGUUUUCUUGAUUGCAAGGACAUGAAAACCUUCAGAUUUUAAGAACUGUGAGAUUUAUUCUUCCAUUUAUUUUCAGUUUGUAUUAUGAAUGAGUAUGCUUGUUUUCCUAUGCAUAUUUCCUAUUAUUGUUUAUCUUAAUUGUUAGAGCGGACUUUAAGUUAUUAUUGUGAACAAUCUAUUACUAAGUUUGAUAAUUGUGGCGGAACUACGUUAUUAAACUUAGGGAGAACAUUCGAUUAAAGCAACACAAGUUGCGGACAGCUUGGUUAUUAAGAUUAAUGAAUUUAUCUAGAUCUUAAGGCUACCAUUGGAUUAAAUCAUUAGUGCGAACACUGUGAUUUUUUAUUGGUUAUGAUUAGUUUUACAGCGGAUUUGUUAACUAAUCAACAUUAAGAAAAGAUAAAAAAAAUUCAGAAUAUAAACUGGAGAUUCAUUUCAAGGAUCUGUUCUGAUUUUUGUAGGUGGAUGUGUGCUUGCGACCAAGGUUUGUUUUCUUGAUAAAUUUCAGUUUUAAUUGACUUUGUUUGCUAGUUUAAUUUUUGCUAUAGUUUCAAUCAUUACAAAUCAAACCCUCCAAUUGCAUAACGUAUAGCAUAAAAAUCUGGACUAAAUCUUUCUCGUGGGAUCAACUCUUUGCUUGCUUUAUACUAUCUUGUGUGUUUCAAGAUAGGGUAAUUAAUUUGUGCGACCGCGACAUCGCAAUAAAUUUUGGCACCGUUGGACACUGUGAUCCCCGGCAACGGCGCCAAAAUUUGUUGCGAUGUCGCGGUCGCACAAAUUAAUUACCCUAGCUUAAAACACACAAGAUAGUAUAGAGCAAGCAAGUGGUCGAUCCCACAAGGAAGGUUUAGUUCAGAUUUUUAUGUUAUACGUUAUGCAAUUGGUGGGGUUGAUUUAUAAUGAUUUAAACUAUAGCAGAAAUUAAACUAGCAAACAAAAUCAAUUGAAAUUGAAAUUUAUCAAGAAAACAAACCUUGGUCGCAAGCACACAUCCACCUACAGAAAUCAGAACUGAUCCUUUAAACGAAACUCCAGUUUAUAUUCUGAAUUUUUUUAUCUUUUCUUAAUGUUGAUUAGUUAACAAAUACGCUGUAAAACUAAUCUUAACUAAUAAACAAUCACAGUGUCCGCACUAAUGAUUUAAUCAAAUGGCAGCUUUAAAAUCUAGAUAAAUUCAUUAAUCUUAACAACCAAGUUGUCCACAGCUUGUGUUGCUUUAAUCGAAUGUUCUCCCUAAGUUUAAUAACGUAAUUCCGCCACAAUUAUCAAGUUUAGUUGCUUCACAAGUUUAUAUACCAUAACUUCAGUUUUGAUAUCAAACUUAGCAAUAGAUUGUUCAUAAUAAUAACUUAGAGUCCGCUUUAGCAAUUAAGAUAAACAAUCAUAGGAAAACAAGCAUACUCAUUCAUAAUACAAACUGAAAAUAAAUGGAAGAAUAAAUCUUACAGUUCUUGAAAUCUGAAGGUUUUUGCGUCCUUGCAACCAAGAAAACAAGUUUAGUCUUGCAUAUUUAUUAAACAACUACUCCUAAAGAUGGAAGAAAGCAUGAUUUCUGGUUUGUAGAGGGGAGAGUUUGUGUUUCUUCUCUUAUGGCUGUCACCCCUCUUUCUUUUGUUCUACUGCACUUUCUUUUCCUCUCCCACUCAAUAGCAUAAACUUAGCUGCCUAUUUAUACACAAAUUAUAAGUAAGAAAAAUCAAAGUUCAAGUGUGAACAUCAAUAGAAGGUGGUAGUGUGAAGGCGGCUGACAGCUGGUGGCUGGUAGCUAGUGGUUGGUGGUUGUCUUCCUUUACCUUCUGGAUUGAUUUACUAGAGGAGCUAAAUUGCUGAAAUAAAAAAUUGGAUGUCGGUUUGGAUGCUUCGGGAUGUAAUUUGGAUUCGUUUCUUCACGAAACCUGUUUGCUGGCAGAAUUCAGUUGUCAUCUUUGAAAACUCAUAUAUCCCUCAUAUGACAUUUUUUUUUGUUGAAAUUUGGAGCGUUGAUAGGACUUUAAGUCAGAAAUCCAAAAACAUUAAGUUUGCACCAAUUGGAUGUCUACAGCUCCAUAUAUUCAAUUUUGAAUGGACAAAGGUCAACACUGGCAGAAUGCGAGAUUUGACUUUGAAGGCUGCGAUUUCCAUGCUCUUCCUUAUUUUAUUUUUCUUUCCUUACAUUUCCAGAAAGGUAUGGAUGUUAACUUUCUUAUGCCACUGGAAUCACUUCAUUUUGACCUUUAAAACUCACGCUCUGCACAUAACAUCGAUUGAACAUCAAAUCUGUCAAUUACCUUCAAUCUACUCCUUUUUGCAUUUUUCAUCCAAAAGUGCCUUCAAAACAUAAAACAAAGAAUAUCAAGGCAUUUUAUAUGUAUAACAUAGGCAAAAAAAACUAGUUAAAUGUGGGUGAAACUAUCGAAUAAUAUGGUUACAUCAGUGGCUAGUUGUAAUGUCCCAAACAGUAGUCACAACCACAGUAGUGUUAAGAGAAAAGCUACUGAAACCUCCAUACCUCAACCUAAAAAAAAAGGAUCUGGAAUGGGAGCUAUGUUAUUCUCACAUUUAGAUCGACUUGUUGAGAGUGUUUCGAUUGCUACUAAUUAUACAAUGCCUUCAAGAGACAAGAAAGGGUGUAACAUUCAGGAGGUGAUGGAAGAGUUGAAUUCAAUACAUGGUGUUGACUUCGGAAGUCCAAUACACACAUUUGCAACAGAAUUCUUCUAUGCAAGAAGCAAAAAAGGAGAUGUGGAGAUCUUGACAGAAAAUACUCUUGGUUGAAAAUAAUGUAUGAACGACAAUCAAAACAGUAGAAAAAAAAGCUUGUUAGAGGGAAAACAAUGUUAUUGUUGUUUACUGUUGUGUUCUUGAAAGGACCGCAAUGGCAUGAUAACUUCACGUUGAAUGGAAUAGAUCGGGCUGUAAAAUUUUUAUUUUCUGUUAUUGGCAAAGUUUAUAAUGACCUGCUAUUCAGUCCUCUAAUGUGAACGCAAUGUCUUAUAUUGAUAUAUUGUAAUGUUAUUGUAAUGGUUUUAUGUAGUAAUUGUACUGACAUUUGUUAGGCCUAUUAUAACAACAUAUUAUUGGUAAUCUAAUUGAACAAUGAUUACUGUUUUAACAUCAUUUAUGUUGAGAACAAGUCUCGAAUUAAGUUGCAAUUCAUGUAAAUUGUCAUAAUCUACCGAAAUUGGUUUUGUUUGUUC